GUGGGCGUUGGGGGGCUGGUUGACGGGGGCCGAGGCCGCGUGGACGGCCGGGGCGGAGGAAGGCCGAGUGGCGGCGGGGUCGGAGGAGACCCGCGCCCCGGCAGGCGCGGAGUCGGAGGAAGGCCACCGUGCUCCGGCGGCGGCGGGGGCGGAGGAGGACCGGGCGGCCGCUGGGACGGAGAAGGACGGCUCCGGCGGAGGAGGAGGUCCGUGCAGCGCGGGCACGGAGGAAGGCCGCGCUCCGGCGGCGGAGAAGGUCCGUGCGGCCACGGGGACGGAGGAAGGCUGAGUUCCCGUGAAGGCGGUGUUCCUUCAUCGGGAGGAAGUAGGUGGCGGGCUACACAGCGGCGGGGGUUACUAGGUGAGGAGAGGAGACCGAGGACCAGCUACUAGUACCGGGUAGGACGACGAACGGAGGAAGGAGCGCAUACGUAUUUUUUUAUCCAACUUAAAGUGGGACGUAGGGGCUGCAUCGCGAAGAGACCGAGGAGGGGGCGAACGACGGUCCAGACAGAGAGGAAGGAGGGGACGAACGGCAGUACACGCCGCAACCUGCACCGAUGAACUACCUCACUUCGACCGGAGGCUCGUGGCAGUCAACGUGACGUGGGAUGUUUUUUUCUUGUCGGCGUUCAAGUCUUAGUCUUUUUAAUCUUCAAGUUCUUCUUGUUUCCGUGACGGAAGUGAGCACACGAACGUUUGACGAUCCCUGUUGGUACAACUACCGCUAACUUUCUCCUAAGACUUUAUUAUAAUAACUCUGACUUCUGGUUCAAACUAUUACGUGCUACAGUCUCCUAAGGUCCCGAAAGAGACUCCACCAACUACCGAAGGCUCUUUACGCAAGUAUAGAGUGUUCAAAGUCCCCAAGUUCAAGUAGAUAUAUUCUUCCUUAAGGUUAAAACAACGUGUAGACACACACCUUCUCCGCGACUUUGAACUACACGAAUGAUAAAGAAAAGAACAUUGUGGAUCCAUGUAGUGCACCAAAGUUAGUGUCAAUAAAAAGUGACGGUACCGGGCUGUGGAGGAGGUAGAGCCACGGUGGCAGUACUGGAUCGGAUGUAAACGACCAACGAAGAUCGACUACAACAACGCAGGACGGAGCGGCAGAUUGACUACAAUCACGCGACGACGACGUCAAGUCGAUCUCACCCUCUUUCUAGAGACACUCUCAAAUCGACGACAACGACAGAAAUUAAAAACAAAAACUUGAACAACCAAUUUCUAUUACUACAACGAAAGAUGUAUACCGGAAGGACACCUACAUAGUAAAGAGGUAGGCGAACCUUCGAAGUUGUAAGACU
rnacentral:rRNA from 1 species